rnacentral:lncRNA from 1 species
CUGAUUACAAUGAAACCUAUUAGCUACUGCACGACUGGAAUAGCCUUCCUUACUCAAGGCAACAGCUAUACUUUUUUCCUGAGGGGUCAGUUGAACAAACUUUCCCAUAUUACCUUAACAGUUCCAAACAGCAAACUAGCCACAAAGACAUGUGGGCUGACUUUUAUACAUUUUAAGGAGGAUGAUGUUUGUGUCAUCAUCUAUGAACCAACAGAAUCUCAGGAUGAUCCAAUGCCACCAGAUUGUUUCAUCUUUUAAGACAAUCAAAUUGACAAAACCAAAAAUUUCCAAAGUUUGUAAGAUGAU